AAAGUGUAGCAAUACAUGAGUAAAGCGGCGCACGGGUGAGUAACACGUGGGUAAUCUGCCCUCGAGUGGGGAAUAACACCGGGAAACCGGUGCUAAUACCGCAUACGAUCACGAUGUCUUCGGAUUUUGUGAUGAAAGGAGCAAUUCGCUCUUGGAGGAGCCCGCGGCUGAUUAGCUAGUUGGUGAGGUAAUGGCUCACCAAGGCAACGAUCAGUAGCCGGUCUGAGAGGACGGUCGGCCACACUGGAACUGAGACACGGUCCAGACUCCUACGGGAGGCAGCAGUGGGGAAUUUUUCGCAAUGGGGGCAACCCUGACGAAGCAACGCCGCGUGGAUGAUGAAGUAUCUCGGUACGUAAAAUCCUUUCGACGGGGAAGAAAACCGCAAGGUUUGACGGUACCCGUAGAAGAAGCCCCGGCUAACUCCGUGCCAGCAGCCGCGGUAAUACGGGGGGGGCAAGCGUUGUUCGGAAUUACUGGGCGUAAAGGGCGCGUAGGCGGUUCGCUAAGUUGAAUGUGAAAACUCUGGGCUUAACCCAGAGCCUGCAUUCAAUACUGGCGGGCUAGAGUUCUGGAGGGGAUAGCGGAAUUCCUGGUGUAGCGGUGAAAUGCGUAGAUAUCAGGAGGAACACCGGUGGCGAAGGCGGCUAUCUGGACAGAGUCUGACGCUGAGGCGCGAAAGCUAGGGGAGCAAACAGGAUUAGAUACCCUGGUAGUCCUAGCCCUAAACGAUGGAUACUUGCUGUGACUGGGAUUGAAUCCAGUCGUGGCGAAGCUAACGCAUUUAGUAUCCCGCCUGGGGAGUACGGUCGCAAGGCUGAAACUC
rnacentral:rRNA from 1 species